rnacentral:lncRNA from 1 species
AUAAAAGGUGCGCGUCUAGAACCUUUAUCUCUGGGCCCUUGCAGCAUUCUUUUCCUGCUAAGUGGCCGGAAUUGCUAGCUUGACAAGGGUCUUUCCACCUUGCCGACAGGUUUCAGUCUUCAGUAUCACCGAGGUUUUUUCAGCAAUCAGCACUAGUGUGCGUUCGCGCGUGCUGAAAACCUGAGUUCCAGGAGAUCAAGAAUGAGGCUUCUGCAGUUAAAAGGAUUUACGUCCUCGUUGGUGACGGUAGCAGGUACGAACUGAACUGAACAUAUAUUAUUAAGUUUUUUUGAUGAAGUUAAUAGAUUGUUACUCGUCGUACUAUUUUUGAGCCCAUCAGCUCAAGAAACUGGAUGCAAGUGCAACUGGACAGUGGGUGUCACUGUGUGAGCAUAGCACAAGGCUACGUUUCAACAGCUUACUUGGAACAGUAGUAUAAAACAAGAUGCUCAUCUCCAGCUCUAAAGCCUCACGGCUCUGCCAGGCCAAAGAAAACUAACACAUGGGGCCUCCUUUCUCUCUCUCAUCAUGGAAACAACCAC